rnacentral:rRNA from 1 species
GUCCACGCCCUAAACGAUGUCAACUAGUUGUCGGGAGAGGAGACUUUCUUGGUAACGCAGCUAACGCGUGAAGUUGACCGCCUGGGGAGUACGGCCGCAAGGUUAAAACUCAAAGGAAUUGACGGGGGCCCGCACAAGCGGUGGAUUAUGUGGAUUAAUUCGAUGCAACGCGAAAAACCUUACCUACCCUUGACAUGCCAGGAACUUGCCAGAGAUGGCUUGGUGCCCGAAAGGGAACCUGGACACAGGUGCUGCAUGGCUGUCGU